rnacentral:rRNA from 1 species
UCAAUAAGCGGAGGAAAAGAAACCAACCGGGAUUACCUCAGUAACGGCGAGUGAAGCGGUAACAGCUCAAAUUUGAAAUCUGGCUCCUCUGGAGUCCGAGUUGUAAUUUGUAGAAGAUGCUUUGGGUUGUGGACUCGGCCUAAGUUCCUUGGAACAGGACGUCAUAGAGGGUGAGAAUCCCGUAUGUGGCCGAGGCCCGCGCCUAUGUAAAGCUCUUUCGACGAGUCGAGUUGUUUGGGAAUGCAGCUCAAAAUGGGUGGUAAAUUUCAUCUAAAGCUAAAUAUGGGCCAGAGACCGAUAGCGCACAAGUAGAGUGAUCGAAAGAUGAAAAGCACUUUGGAAAGAGAGUUAAACAGUACGUGAAAUUGUUGAAAGGGAAGCGCUUGCAACCAGACUUGGGCGCUGCCGAUCACCCCGAGUUCUCUCAGGUGCACUCGACAGCGCACAGGCCAGCAUCGGUUCGGGUGGCUGGAUAAAGGCCGUAGGAACGUAGCUCCCCUCGGGGAGUGUUAUAGCCUACGGUGCCAUGCAGCCCAGCCGGACCGAGGACCGCGCCUUCGGGCUAGGAUGCUGGCGUAAUGGUUGUAAGCGACCCG